AUUGAACGCUGGCGGCAGGCCUAACACAUGCAAGUCGAACGAGUGGCGGACGGGUGAGUAAUGUCUGGGAAACUGCCUGAUGGAGGGGGAUAACUACUGGAAACGGUAGCUAAUACCGCAUCCCAUCAGAUGUGCCCAGAUGGGAUUAGCUUGUUGGGGGGGUAACGGCUCACCAAGGCGACGAUCCGUAACUGGUCUGAGAGGAUGAUCAGUCACACUGGAACGGAGACACGGUCCGAAGUCCUACGGGAGGCAGCAGUGGGGAAUAUUGGACAAUUGGCGAAAGCCUGAUCCAGCCAUGCCGCGUGUGUGAAGAAGGUCUUCGGAAUGUAAAGCACUUUAAGUUGGGAGGCGUUACCACCAGAAUAAGCACCGGCUAACUUCGUGCCAGCCGCCGCGGUAAUAC
rnacentral:rRNA from 1 species